GUAAGGUACCGAACUUCUAAAAUUAUGAAGUUAUGGUGUAUAUUUGGUUGGAAAGCCAUUUGAAUGGUUCAGAUGAAGUUCGGUGAAGUUCGGAAACAUUCGGGAGUUUUCGGAGCGCAUAGGCGCGAAAACGGAACCCGAAAAACUAUGUCGGGUCGAAAACUAAAUCCGACAUUAGCGUGGGUGAAAAGAUGAUGUAAAUACGCUCGAAAAUAUGUUUGGAAAGUCUCGGUUCGAUUUGAAAAGAAUCGGAGGCCAAACGAGCGAAAACGAGCGAAAACGGAGAAGAAACGAAAAAGGCUGAAAUUUGGCUAAGUUCUAAAAAUGCUGAAAUUCUGGACUUACGGGGACCGCUCCCCCAUUUGUAUAGAGAACCGGUCCCUUAUACAAAAAAUGCCCCGCACGGGCUCCGCACUAAAAUACAAAGUUGAGGGGGUUUCUUGCAAUUUGGUGUUAAUAGGGGUUAAAGGGAGGUGAUAUGAGCCCUUCUCUCUCACUCUCUCAUAUUCUAAACACCAAAACAUUAUCCCUCUCUCUCUCUAAGCUCUCAUUCUCUCUCUCUAGAAGGGGAUCCAAGAGAAGGAGUUGGAGAAGAAGCAAGCUUGGAAGUGAGUUUUCAUCUUCCUCAUCUUCUUCCUCACCAUUGGAGGAGUUUGUAGAGGUAAGCUUCUUGGUAGCAACCAUGGUAGCUUUCUAGAAUAUAGAUUUUAAUCUCUAGAAUUGGUUUAUUUGGAAUCCUAGCAUGCUAAAUAGGUGAUAAAUGCUAGAAUCUAGAGAUUAAACGGUAGAUUUUGCAAUAGUUGCAAACUAGGGCAUCCAAAAAGGGUUUUGGUAUAUAUGUGGGUUUGAUCUCAAUUGACCCUCCGUAAACCUAAUUGCUAGAUAUUCUGACGCAUUGGCGAAGUCGGUUCCGCGAUUCGUCGAGCCUACGCGAAGAUAUUGAAGAAACGGACAAUUUAGCUUCGUUUCCGUCUUGAGGGCCGAGGCGACGUCCAAAAAUCAUGAAAAAGGAUUUGUGGCAUCGCGGCAUCAAGUUGUAGACCUAUAAUUUUCGGGACCACGAUUCGGCGCACGGUUGGGGUGCGAUUGCAAGAUCGGGCUGAACUGGAUAGGAUGCCGCGGGAGGCCGAUUGCAAGUGACUACAAACAAUCGGAGAGCGAAUCGAGGUGGAUUGUGCUCACCGAAGCGAUUAGGUCACCUCUAUGUCUAAGAGAAAUAUGAAUUCAUGUUGAUGCAUAUAAAUGCUAGAUGAUACAUGUAGUUAACACUAAAAGAAUGCAUGUUGAUGACAUGAAGUAAAGGAUAAAUGAAUGCUUGAGAUAAUUGCUAUGCAAUGACUAUUAUAGAAAUGCUAGCUAAUUGCAUAAUGCUAGGAGAAGCAUAAUAAAAUAGUGACUAUUAAAGAAUGCAUGUUGGCAUUGAGAUGAAUGCAUGAUUAUAUAUAUAUAUGUAAACUAGAUCGAUAUCUCUAGAGUGAGUAGAGAACUCGACAUUGGAAAUAGAAACAUGAGAACUAUAAAAUACUCGACUGGACAACUAGGAUGUCAAGUAGAUCGAGUGGCAUUGAACCUAGUGUUAGUAAACAUAGGUCGAACACGAGUAACAUUUAACCUAGUGUAAUUAAACAUAGGUUGAACAUAAAUGACAUUGAACCUAGUGUCAGUAAACAUAGGUUGAACAAGUGAACCUAGAGUCAAGAUCUAGAUGAGUGGUAUCGAACCUAAUGUUAAAGAAUAUAGAUUGUGGAUUAAACCUAGAGUUAAGUGAACCUAGGUUAUGUGAUAGAGGCAUAGAACCUAGAGUCAGUUGGACCUAGAGUGGAAAGGACACCGGACCUAGAUAGGUCGAUACUAUAGGGUUUGAGACCAACCCUUGAGUUAUGUGAAGUGGAUUCCGGAAUCCCUAGUGAUGUAGCCGCAAAAGAAGCGGUGGAAUCUUGCAGCAGGAUACAAGAGAUGGCAAGCGAAUUAUAACUGCAAGUAUGUGUGGUUCUACUCGCCUGGCAGUGAUUCAACGGGUAUGUGUAGUUCUCCUCGCCCCGGAUGCCAUGAGAAUAAGCUUGAAAUGGGUAUGUGUGGUUCUCCUCGCUCAUUUAGCUUAUUGAAUGAUGCCGCCUAGAUUGACUUGAACCAUUGCUGGGUAAGGGCGAUGAGUUCGCCGCCAGAUGACUAAGGCAUGACUUGAACUAUUGUUUGUGAGAUGCGAUGAGUUCGCCGCCAGAUGGCUAAGUCAUGACUUGAGUCAUUGUUGGGUGAGAUGCGAUGAGUUCGCUGUCAGAUGGCUAAGUCAGAGGUGCGGUAGGCUGUGACGGCAGCCAGGCUGAGGUGCAGCCAGUGCGAGGACUAUCCACGGAUGAUUGACUCGAGGCCGAGUUAGGUGGAUAGCUUGGUAGAGAUAGUAGAAACCUUAAAAGCUAGUGAUAGAGACAAGAGCUAAGAUAGUUGGACUUGAGUUGAGAACCUAAGGUAGUAGAAACCUUAGAAUUGAAUGAUAUGAGCUAAAGAUAGUAAAGUUGAACGUAGAAUCAAUAGAUCUACUAGUUGAUUGCACAUAUUCAUAUUGCAUAUUGUGAGACGUGUUAUCUGUUAGUUAGAUAUUACAUGAUGAUAUAUAUAUAUAUAUAUAUAUAUAUAUAUAUGUAUAUCUAACAGGUGAAGAACAUGUAAUCAACAUGGAAUUAAAAUCUCUGCAGUAAUGAAUAUAACAUGAACAUAAGCAUGAAUAUGUAAAUCUCUACUGUAACCGGUAAACAUUCAUUACUGUCAAAUGUCAUUUAAUACUUUUAUUUCGUCCAUAAGGACCUACUCAAGGUAGUCCGGCUUGCGCCGCGCCUAAUGGCCCCGNUACUAGUUGAUUGCACAUAUUCAUAUUGCAUAUUGUGAGACGUGUUAUCUGUUAGUUAGAUAUUACAUGAUGAUAUAUAUAUAUAUAUAUAUAUAUAUAUAUAUAUAUAUAUAUAUAUAUCUGUAGAUGUUUUCGGACUAACUUGAUUGCAGUGCCUCCUUGGACCUAUUGGCCGAGCUUCUUUCUUGGGUAGCCGUACCCACUUGGAACUAUAGAAUUAGUUCUCACCCCACGUUGUUUUGGGAUGUUACAGGUUCGCACGUGAGCGGCGCGGCGGCGCGAGACAAGGGUGUAGCUCCAUAGAUAGCGCCCUACCCCAAAGACCAGAGAUAGCGGUACCCCGAGUCGGCAUAACCUAGAGGUAGAGAAAAAUGAAAAGAACAAGAUGUACUAAAACUUGUAAACAAAUGAUGUAGUAACUUGAUUGUAUUUGAAAGUCAUAAAAUGUAUUAUGUGAGAGUGAUGUAAAAAUGAAUCUAAUGGGAAUGCUUGUAAUAACAUAGGAUGUGUUAUAUUGUUUGAUACCUUCUUUAUGCAAUCAUUGUACGAAUACCGUUCCUGUUUGGAACCUUUUGUAUUGUACUGUUUGUUGAGCCUUGAACAGUACAGGGAAGACUCUGUCCGCGGUACAGGAAAAACCGUGUCUGUUCGGCGCUGUCAGAGGUCCGAACCCGGCCAAAUAAGCGUGGGGCUCGGGGCAUGACAGAAGGUUGUAUCAGAGCAUAGAGUAGAUAAUGAAAAAAUGGUUUAGAUGGACCUAGGAGACCCUAGGAUAGUAAAACCAUAGGAGAAUAAGGCUAAUGAGAGACGAGGACUUGUGACUUGUAGCGAAAGGUUAAUAGAUUGGGUUGUGUCGAAACCUCUAAGAUAGAUAUUAGAGGUAGACUCGAGGUGUGGUUUAUUCUCAGCUGAGGAUGUUCAUGUUGGCGUACGACAACAUGAAACCUAGUGAUGAGAAUAGACGUCCUUGCGCGACUUUCGCCUGAUUGACUCUUCAGUCGUUGUUAAUGGUCUCGUGUUUGACCCUGAGGGUCGAGAGCUAAUCGAGUUGUCCUGUUUCAGGAAACGAUAGCACCGCGUAGGCGAUCUUCAUCUAGAUCAGCACGGGAGGAGACAAGUGGUGUCCCCGAGCAAAACGACGUAAGCGGAGACUCAGAGCUUCGUGAUCAGUUUGCCACUCUCGUCGGAGUGGUAAGGCAACAGGCUGAUGUGGUGCAGCGGCAGCAAGAGGCUGUCAUGCGCCAGGAGGAGCGAAUAAAAAGACUCCAAGAAACGGUGGAUCAGUUAGUGACCACACCAACUUCGGCUCGUCAGGUACGGCCGGGAGUUACGGCGGAGAUGUUCCCGUCGGGGUCGGGUGAUCCGACUCCUGUUAGUUCAGAGGUGGAGGCGGAGAGCGAACGAGCUUUGGCGGCCCUCAUGGCUUUCAAGAAGUUUGAUCCGCCUACCUUUGAUGGAGAGGACGCAGAUCCGUGGAUCGUUGAGAUGUGGAUUGAUUCUAUAGAAACGCUCUUCGAGGAGUUGUACACCUUGGAGCGGGACAAGGUGCCCCUAGCCAUGCACUGUUUGAAGUUGUCGACAAAGGCGUAGUGGAAAGGCAUUCGACGGAAUCGAUCGCCUAGUCUCCCUCCUAUAGCAUGGGAUGAGUUUCGUGGAUUGGUAUUUUCAACUUACUUCCCCGAUAGUGAAAAGAGAAAGCUUCAGGAAAGGUUUAGGAAGCUGCGGCAAGGAGACCGCUCUGUGAGGAAAUACGAACGGGAGUUUUUCCGCAUCGUGAAUUGUGUCCCGGAUGUGGUCCGAGAUGACAAAGAUAUGGCCGAUUGGUUCUUGCGUGGACUUCGACUAGAGAUUUAUAAGGAGGUGCAAAUCUUCAAGCUCACAACCUUCGCGGAGGUGUUGGAUCGAGCGUUGCUGGCAGAGCACGGCGAGGCUUUCGUGCGUGAGGAGCACGAGUCUUCUGAACGUGAGCGGGGAGGAGUGAGGCCACUGUCGAGCGAUUCGGGUGGACAAUUAAGUUCUAGGCGCCACUCGAAGUCGUCCUCUACCAGGUCCUCCCCAGGAUGCGUGAUUUGUGGUGAUUUCCACUGGGCUCGGGGGUGUGUACUGCGCGAUGGAAGAUGCUUUCGUUGUGGGCAGCCGGGCCAUACGCGGGACGAGUGUCCACAAACUGAUAGUCGGGCCUUAACAUUGACGACAGUCUUUUUCUCUCUAGGACAGUCUGCAGGUGUGCCUCCUGCGGCAUGGUCGAAAGAGCGGCUGUUGAGGAUAAUGCCACCGAGGGGUUCGCGGCGGGCAGCAAGUGGCCGUGGAUACACGACCUAGGUGGAGGAACCUGCUACUACCGACGAUGUCAUGGCAGGUAUGAGUUAAUUAAGCAAGCAUAUGCUGCUACCUGAUAUCAAGUUGUUGCAUAGCAUGCAUUUAUCUUAUGGUCAAUUGCUACUAUUUAUACAUUGCAUAGUAGGGACCUAUUGGACGGGUAGGGAGAUACCCGGGCAUGCUUGCAUUUUGAAAGUGUGGCGCCUGUUGGAGCAGGUAGAGAGCCAAGUGGUACUAGCAAAUGGCUAGUAAUGGUUCUUGGACAAGGAGUGGGACUCGUGGUAAACCUGAAAUGGUGAAUUGACUCUCAAGGCAAUGGAUAGGGGAUUGCCAGAGUUGGAUCUUGAUGCUUGUGGAAAUCCGAGUAGCUUGACACCCGGUUUGGAAUGGGUACAAGAGGGGGGAUAAAGGGAUUAUCCCCCCUCUUAUACCCAAACACAAUUUGGGGGGGGGGGGGGGUGGGUGGAACACUUGUUCCACCCAAGGGAUUGGAACAAGGGUGGAACACUUGUUCCAUCCUUCCCGGCAGCAGAGAGAGAGAGAGAGAGCAGAUUUUUAAUUUUAAUUUUAAUUUCUAAAAUUUAUAAUUUAGUUUUUAAAAAUUUAAAUUUAUAAUUUUAAAUUAUAAAUUUUAAUGUUUAAAUUAUAAAUUUGAUAUUUGUAAUUUUUAAAUUUUAAAUUUAAUUUUUUAGAUUUAAAAUUUAAAAUUUUAUAUUUUAUAUCUUUCAAAUUUAAAUUUGAUCUUAAAUUUAAAAUUUGAUAUUUAAAAUUUAAAUUUUGAAAAUUAUAAGUUUUAAUUUUAAUUUCAAAUUUUAAAAUUUAAAAGUUAAAAUUUUUAUUUUAAAAUUACUAGUUUAAAAUGUUAAAUUCAAUUAUAGAGGUAAAAUUAUUAUUUUCUAUCUAUAACUACCAACUAUUCCACCUUAUACUUAAAUUUUUAUCCAAAUAUAAUUUUUCUAGUUCCAGCUUAUACUCAUAUUUUCAUCUAAACAAAAAAAUACCCUUGUUCCUACGAAAAUCCAUUCUUGUACCUGUCCCCGGUAUAACUAGUUCUUGCUUAUACCAGAACCAAACGAAGCCUGAGAGUUUCGAAUACCGUUCAGGUAGAUCGAAUGGUGAAACUGGAAUCACUGUUGAGAAAAUAGCCGAAUGGUUAUCGAGUACGAGCACGUGGGCCUAUUAGUACCUCGAAUUGAGGUGGGUGAGCCAUGCUCGUGUGGUCGGCGUGCAUAGGCAAGGUUGCCUGAUGCUUGACAUAGUUGGAACGCUAUAGAGGCGUGUGGAGCGCUCGAGUAUAGGUACUCGUAGAGUAUGGAUGUGAAUCAACCGAGAGAGUGAGAUGGCAGUAGCACUAUAGCAUUGCUAAGUGUGAAGCGGGCCAUGAAUCACUCGUGGGGCUGGCAACUCGCACUAGGUGCUUAGAAGCCUAUAGUGGUACGUGUGACUCGAUAGAGUAUGUCGUGUAGGACGAUGACGAUGGGUAUCGCUUCGGGACGAUCCGUGCCUGGACCAUUUGUGGAUUGUGGAGCCUGGGCGCUUUGGGUAAGCGCAGUCCAGCUGUGAGUGACAGCGGUCCGGUACCUACGGGUAGAGCAGAGUUUUGGUCAGGACGGUAGUUCGAGCUUAGACCCGGAAGCAUGGAAUGCCACGUGUUGGAUCAUGAGAUUGAGGAUACACCGAGAGUGUGGUUGUGACCCAACCCAAGGACUUGACGUGCUUUGGGGACUUGAUUGCUCCUAGUUGGAGUGUGUGCAAAUUCUCCAAUGAGAAUUUCGCCCAAUGAUGAUUGGGUCUAUGUGCGAGCGAGAGACACCGUGCGUAGUUGAGACAGGUUUAGGAGGUAGGCCUAAGCAGUAUUGGUGACCGUUGGUCCACCUGUGGAAGCCGACGUAAUCGGUUUAGCCGAUAGCGCUAUGGAUGAGUUGGGAUUAGAUUCACGAACGGAGUGUUCGUGUGAGCUCGUUGCGGCAGCGAAGUUGAGUUGGUCGUGGCUUAUGAUGGCAAAGGAUGAAAUGCUCUAGUGAGACAUUGAGCUAAUGGAAACCAUGGGAGAAUUGGAGCUUAAGGAUAAAGCUCUUUUGUGGAUUGAGAUUGGAGAUGUGCCGGAGUGUGCCAUCUCAUAAUAGAGCAAGGAUCCAGUUGGAAUUGGAGCACUCGUGAUUGGUCGAUGCACCAACGAUAUUGCUUCUAAGCAAUGCCGGUGAUCGAGUCGGAGUGAGUUUCCGAUUGGGUGUGUAAUGCAAAGAAUGGUUCUUUGCAUGAUGGUAAUGCACUUGUGGAGUUAUACUUGGCAAAUGUGAGUGGAUUUGGUCUCACAUCCUCUGUAGUGGGCCUUUGGAUGGUUUAGAUAAGUGAAAGGCCACUCCGGAGUGCGAAAGUGCAUUGGAACCCUCAACUACUCAAUAAGCUAAGUUGAGGUGUGGAUUGGAUUAUAAGUGAGUUGAGUUUCUAGGACGAAACUCUUUUAAGGAGGGGAUGAUGUAAGGUACCGGACUACUAAAAUUAUAAAGUUAUGGUGUACAUUUGGUUGGAAAGCCAUUUGAAUGGUUUCGGUGAAGUUCGGUGAAGUUCGGGAGCAUUCGGGCGUUUUCAGAGCGCGUAGACACGAAAACGGGACCCGAAGGGCUAUGUCGGGCCCAGAACUAAAUCCGACAUUAGCGUGGGUGAAAAGAUGAUGUAAAUACGCUCGAAAACAUGUUUGGAGAGUUUCGAUUCGAUUUGAAAAGAAUCGGAGGCCAAACGAGCGAAACGGAGAAGAAACGAAAAAGGCUGAAAUUUGGCUAAGACCUAAAAAUGCUGAAAUUCUGGACUUACGGGG
rnacentral:lncRNA from 1 species